rnacentral:rRNA from 1 species
AUUGAACGCUGGCGGCAGGCUUAACACAUGCAAGUCGAGCGGAGAUGAGGUGCUUGCACCUUAUCUUAGCGGCGGACGGGUGAGUAAUGCUUAGGAAUCUGCCUAUUAGUGGGGGACAACAUUCCGAAAGGAAUGCUAAUACCGCAUACGCCCUAUGGGGGAAAGCAGGGGAUCUUCGGACCUUGCGCUAAUAGAUGAGCCUAAGUCGGAUUAGCUAGUUGGUGGGGUAAAGGCCUACCAAGGCGACGAUCUGUAGCGGGUCUGAGAGGAUGAUCGGCCACACUGGGACUGAGACACGGCCCAGACGCCGACGGGAGGCAGCAGUGGGGAAUAUUGGACAAUGGGCGGAAGCCUGAUCCAGCCAUGCCGCGUGUGUGAAGAAGGCCUUUUGGUUGUAAAGCACUUUAAGCGAGGAGGAGGCUACUUAGAUUAAUACUCUAGGAUAGUGGACGUUACUCGCAGAAUAAGCACCGGCUAACUCUGUGCCAGCCGCCGCGGUAAAAC